GUCUUUUUGAAUUAAAUUUAAAGUUUAACCUGCCCACUGAAAAUUUUAAAUGGCCGCAGUAUUCUAACUGUGCAAAGGUAGCAUAAUCAUUAGUCUUUUAAUUGAAGGCUGGAAUGAAUGGUUGGACGAAAUAUUAACUGUUUCAUUUAAAUUUUUUAUAGAAUUUUAUUUUUUAGUCAAAAAGCUAAAAUAAAUUUAAAAGACGAGAAGACCCUAUAAAUCUUUAUAUUUUGUUUAUUUUAAUUAUAAAGAUUAUUUUUAUUAUAAUAAAUUAAAAUAUUUUAUUGGGGUGAUAUUAAAAUUUAAAAAACUUUUAAUUUUUUAAACCAUUAAUUUAUGAAUAAUUGAUCCAUUAAUAAUGAUUAAAAAUUUAAGUUACUUUAGGGAUAACAGCGUAAUUUUUUUGGAGAGUUCAUAUCGAUAAAAAAGAUUGCGACCUCGAUGUUGGAUUAAGAUAUAAUUUUGGGUGUAGCCGUUCAAAUUUUAAGUCUGUUCGACUUUUAAAUUCUU
rnacentral:rRNA from 1 species